ACGGAAGCUUGGAGAAGCCAAGAUAUAGCCAGAAGAGAAGGCUAAAUCUCCCGAACCAGGCUCCCUAGCACGGGUCCCGGCACCCACGCGGAGCACAUGCCGCGGAAUAGGCAAAAGUGUUGCGGGCCUGCGUGAUUGCGAGAAGCGGACGGACACGACGGCCCUUUGGGUGGGGUUGCAUCCGAAGCGCAUCGCAAGGACGCCGAGGCCACCCACGCAACCCACAUUGCACGCUUGGUAACCGGAAUCCGUGCUAGCGGGCGGCGAGCCGAACACAGUUCGGAACGCCGCCCGCUUUGCGUU
rnacentral:ncRNA from 1 species